AACGAACGCUGGCGGCAUGCCUAACACAUGCAAGUCGAACGAGACCUUCGGGUCUAGUGGCGCACGGGUGCGUAACGCGUGGGAAUCUGCCCCUUGGUUCGGAAUAACAGUUAGAAAUGACUGCUAAUACCGGAUGAUGACGAAAGUCCAAAGAUUUAUCGCCGAGGGAUGAGCCCGCGUAGGAUUAGCUAGUUGGUGAGGUAAAGGCUCACCAAGGCGACGAUCCUUAGCUGGUCUGAGAGGAUGAUCAGCCACACUGGGGACUGAGACACGGCCCAGACUCCUACGGGAGGCAGCAGUGGGGAAUAUUGGACAAUGGGCGAAAGCCUGAUCCAGCAAUGCCGCGUGAGUGAUGAAGGCCUUAGGGUCGUAAAGCUCUUUUACCAGGGAUGAUAAUGACAGUACCUGGAGAAUAAGCUCCGGCUAACUCCGUGCCAGCAGCCGC
rnacentral:rRNA from 1 species